rnacentral:lncRNA from 1 species
AUGGACUCGAGAAAACGAAAGCACACGCAGGCCCCGCGCCGCACGAGCCCUAGGAGGGCGCGGGAACCCGACGGAAUGCGGAACGUCGCUGCUCUUGCAGCUCCCUACCGCUGGCGGCUGCGACCAUCGUGGGCCGGGAGUUGUGCCGGCGGGUUCCGGGGGCCCCCACGGCAUCCGUCGUCUUGUCCCGCCGCCCAUCGGACAGUCUGUCUGUCUUUCGUGGCCCCGCGCGCCCGCGCUCCCGGCUCGUGCGUUUCUUUUGCUUGCUGCCUCCGGCUCGGCUCCCGGCAGGCCUGGUCGCGCGACGGGCACCCAGCGGUUUGCUAUCAAUUAUCCAGGCCCCAAGUUCAAGGGCACUGCGUGCAUUUCCCUUGCGUGCGCCCGGGUCCAACUCAGGCCGCAGACUGCGGUGCUCCAGCCUUUGGACCCGGCUGGAGAGAAGAGCGCGGUGAGCGGCCGCGAGCUGGACUCCUGGGGCUCCACGAGCCCCGAGGCCCCCCAGCGAUCCGGGAAGAAACCAAACGCCUGUUCCCUUUGAUCUGGUUUUAUAGAGACUUGAGGUUGACAUUAAACUUCGCAUGCUUACCAGCUAUUUUGAUCUUUUAUUCGCAUUUUGGGAAGGAGUCACCAGCGCGGCGAACAAUCCCUGCGGGCUGGCGAGGGUGCGCAGAGGGACUCGGGCACGGGGAUCAGCGCCCGGCCACGCGAGGGUGCGGGGGCGACGCAGGACGCACCCCCUUCCCCAUAUCCACACUCAAGUCCCGCUCGCCCCACAUACCUCUUUCUGCUUCCCCUACACGGGCCCCGGACCUCUCCGCAAAGAGUGCGCGGGAGGCCGGUGCAAGGUCGCGGCGUGACGGGGAGACUAGGGAGCCCGGAGGCACAGGGUGCGAAGCGGAGAGGAGCUGGCAGCCGCCGCCGCCACAGCCGCCGCUUCUGGGCCUCCCCCUCCGCAGUCCCCGCACCCACGCCGAGACUCAAUUACUUUCAGGUGUGGACCACUUAAUAAAAUAA